rnacentral:rRNA from 1 species
ACGGCUCAGUAACACGUAGUCAACAUGCCCAGGGGACGUGGAUAACCUCGGGAAACUGAGGAUAAACCACGAUAAGUCACUACUUCUGGAAUGGGUAAUGACUCAAAUCUACGUGGCCCCUGGAUUGGACUGCGGCCGAUCAGGCUGUUGGUGAGGUAAUGGCCCACCAAACCUGUAACCGGUACGGGCUCUGAGAGGAGGAGCCCGGAGAUGGGCACUGAGACAAGGGCCCAGGCCCUAUGGGGCGCAGCAGGCGCGAAACCUCUGCAAUAGGCGAAAGCCUGACAGGGUUACUCUGAGUGAUUUCCGUUAAGGAGAUCUUUUGGCACCUCUAAAAAUGGUGCAGAAUAAGGGGUGGGCAAGUCUGGUGUCAGCCGCCGCGGUAAUACCAGCACCCCGAGUGGUCGGGACGUUUAUUGGGCCUAAAGCAUCCGUAGCCGGUUCUACAAGUCUUCCGUUAAAUCCACCUGCUUAACAGAUGGGCUGCGGAAGAUACUAUAGAGCUAGGAGGCGGGAGAGGCAAGCGGUACUCGAUGGGUAGGGGUAAAAUCCGUUGAUCCAUUGAAGACCACCAGUGGCGAAGGCGGCUUGCCAGAACGCGCUCGACGGUGAGGGAUGAAAGCUGGGGGAGCAAACCGGAUUAGAUACCCGGGUAGUCCCAGCUGUAAACGAUGCAGACUCGGUGAUGAGUUGGCUUUAUGCCAACUCAGUGCCGCAGGGAAGCCGUUAAGUUUGCCGCCUGGGGAGUACGGUCGCAAGACUGGAACUUAAAGGAAUUGGCGGGGGAGCAC